CCUACGGGUGGCAGCAGUGAGGAAUAUUGGUCAAUGGUCGCAACUCUGAACCAGCCAAGCCGCGUGAGGGAUGACGGUCCUGAGUAUCGUAAACUUCUUUUGUGCGGGAAUAAACUCGGUGACGUGUCGCCUAUUGAGUGUACCUCAUGAAUAAGCACCGGCUAAAUCCGUGCCAGCAGCCGCGGUAAUACGGAGGGUCCGAGCGUUAUCCGGAUUUAUUGGGUUUAAAGGGGGCGCAGGCGGCCACUUAAGUGAGAUGUGAAAGGCCGGGGCUCAACCCCGGCCCCGCGGUGCAAACUGGCAGGCUUGAGUGGGGGAGAGGUAUGCGGAAUGCGUGGUGUAGCGGUGAAAUGCAUAGAUAUCGCGAAGAACUCCGAUUGCGAAGGCAGCCUGCCGGAGCGACACUGACGCUGAGGCACGAAGGUGUGGGUAUCGAACAGGAUUAGAUACCCGAGUAGUC
rnacentral:rRNA from 1 species